ACAUUACCCUGAGUAGUCAGAUGACUUUUUCAAACAUUAUCCUGAGUAGUUAGAUGACUUUCAUAUUACACCUUCAUCAUUCUUUGUUUCCUUUUAUGUACAUGUAUAAAUAUAAAGAAAGAAAUCCAAAUGAGACCAUUCAAGCUUGGAAAGAAAAUGAUUACAACAUCUAUAUAUAUACUGUCUGAUGCGUACACAAAACCUAUACCACCAGAUUACACAAUAUUAAUCAUAUUUAUUACAUACUUACUAUAGAUAUGUGAUUUUUGUAUAUGCGAUACGACACAACUGCUCUAACUAAUAUCAGCCCUCGCCGUAUCACACCCAAAAACAGGUAUCAAACCCCAAACCCGUUUCCGCCCUCUUCCUAUCACCAACAACGUCGUUCUGAACCUUAACAACAGUUCAAAUAUGGCUGAUGCUGAAAAACGUCGACGAAUGGCAGGGUUGCCAACUCCCACGGCGUGAGACAAAAACUCACGCAAAAACGUCCUUACUCACACUGAAACAAUCCUCACGCCACGUGAGGUAUAAAUCUCACGCAUUCGAAAAUAUUCUCCCUCUAUCCCACGCGAAGCCAUAAAUCGGCAAUUUUUAGCUUGGGUCGUACAAAGGGGAAUAACUCUUAUUGCAACGUUGUGCUUUGGAAGUGAGCUGACGAGAGGUGUCGCUUUACAUCCGGUGGAAACGAAUGUAAUAUAUCGUAAGGUCAUGGAAAUACAGAAAAAAGACUGCUACCUGUUCUAGGCAAGGGUGGAAUCGUUACAAGAAAGGCCUUUGAUUAUAUGAUGUGUUGCAUUUCUGAUGUCAGUUUUUUUUGUGUAAUAAAUAAAAAUCUUUUAUAUAUCUGC